UCGAGAAUAAUUCGCAAUGGGCGAAAGCCUGACGAUGCGACGCCGUGUGAAUGAAGAAGGCCUUCGGGUCGUAAAGUUCUGUCGCCUGGGAGCAAGUGUAUCACUCAAAUAGAGAGAUACAUUGAGAGUACCAGGAAAGGAAGCACCGGCUAACUCCGUGCCAGCAGCUGCGGUAAUACGGAGGGUGCAAGCGUUAGUCGGAAUUACUGGGCGUAAAGGGUGCGUAGGCGGAAAUAUAAGUCAGAUGUGAAAUUCCGGGGCUCAACUUCGGAGCUGCAUCUGAAACUAUAUAUCUAGAGGAAUGGCGGAGAAAACGGAAUUCCACAUGUAGCGGUGAAAUGCGUAGAUAUGUGGAAGAACACCUGUGGCGAAGGCGGUUUUCUAGCCUACUCCUGACGCUGAGGCACGAAAGCAAGGGGAGCAAACAGGAUUAGAUACCCGCGUAGUCC
rnacentral:rRNA from 1 species